UAUUAUGCAAACAAAGAUCACCUACUCAGCAAAACAUUAACACAACUUUCCAAAAAAAUUACACAAAAAUAAAACCCAAAAAAAAAUUUAACUCUUAUAGUUUAUUUUUUUGCAAUAAUUGCCUUUACAUUCUCAAUAUCCUUUGAACAAUGUUGAUGAAAUAGUAUUGCAAAAUAUUAAUCUAUUACUCUUCAAAUGAAACUUACAUCAGCCAAAGCUGCCUCAGUGCCCUUAUUCCAUGUUUUACCACCUGCACGAUUCAAGGCCUAGAAAAAAAAGUCUUACAAAUUGUUUACGUAAAAAAAAGAUAAUAAUUGGAAAUGUGAUAGUUACUCCAAUUAUUAAAAUAUAGUUGAUCCAUCUCUUCACAGGUCAAGACUCCAGAUAUGCAAGGAACACCUCUAACAAUAUAAAGUGAGUAAAUCAGUUAAAGAAAAUAGUACAAAUGUGAGAAAAAAAAGAACAUCAAACUAUGAUUGGUUUUUGGUAAUAUAAAGUUAAAAACAUAUUCAUGUAAAAAAACUUAGUUAUUAAAUUUAUCGAAAUUAAAUCAUAUCAAUUAGAAGCAUAUACCAAUUCAAAAUGGAAGUAUGAGAAACUUACUUCCAUUUUUAUCAGGCAAAAGGGGGUGCCCAUAGUAGUAUGUCCCCUGAUUAAUGUAGCAUCAAUAUCUGUGGGCCCAGAUGAAGCAGGGGGGGUUAAAAUUUCAAUUUGUUGCUUUCUCAAUAUCACACUACUAUACAUAUGAGAUUAAGUGGAUGGAAUGGAAUGAUCAUGGAUUGGAAUGGAAUAAGCAAGUUAAUGGAAUGCAUCAUGUCAUUGAUAAGCUCAACCUUAAUGAAAAUUGCGAUGCAAUAAUAAACAUGUAGUGAAAGUAUGUAGCUAUUUCUUGAAUCUGCAAUGUUGUAAAUAGAAAGGAAUGAAAGUAGGUAGAGGAGGAUAUUGAUGGGUUUUAUACAAACAAUCCUAUGUGUACAUGCAACCCUAACAUUGGAUCUAUGUUUUCACUAUUAGAUACACAACAUUAUGAACACAUAAUAAAACCCUAAUUCUAGCAUAUAAGUAAUCAUAUUAACAUAAGAGUAGGUUUAUAAUAUUACCUUGAUUGUUAUGUAGCAAUAACAAUCCCAAAUCUCCUUGUAUUGACUUUGGAAGGCUUAGAGUCACAAGUGUCACUCCUCUAAUGGUUCACAAACACCAAGAGCGAAUGGAGAAGGUAUAAAGAGAGAGAGGGAAGAGGUAUAAAAUUCGUUUCUAGGAACCCUAGACAAGGCAUGGGCGAAUUCUUAUGGCCUUAGGGUUAUUUAUAUAGGUGUAGAGAUUAGGUUUUAGUCUUUAUCCUUAUCUAGUUGCUUGCCCACCAAGCAACCAUAAGAUAAGCCUUGAAAAUCCUUAUCUUUUAUCCUUUGGACGAUUUCAAGGAUCCUUAUCUCCUUGAAUUCGUUCAACCCAUAUUUAUUAUAACCAUUACCAUAUUUUGUAACUAUCACAUAAUUACAAUUCAGCCCCUCUAGUUUAAUUAAUUACAUUUGAUCACAAAAUUAAUUCUUAAUUAAUUAUUAACCAAUAUUAAUUAAACAAAUAUGAUUUCUCCUUUAAUAUAUUAUUCUUAUAACAUAUUAAUAAAUCAUAAUAACCUCUCUCUUUAUUUAUUUCUCCAAUCAAGUUGCUUUGGUGAAGGCAACCCAAAAGGACCAUGCACCAUCGGGUCAAGUACAUACCAAAAUAGUUAUGGACUUAGACACUAAUCCAACAGUCUCCCACUUGGAUAAGUCUAAUAACUAUUCUGCGUAUGACUUCAGAUCCUGAUCUGCAAUCGUAGCUUUCCAAAGCCGCUGUCAACUCUGAUCAUAUCAGAUACGCGUGUCCUUAGAUAAGGGAUCAUAUAUUCCUCCAUUCUAGAUAUCAUAUGAGAUAUGAUUUCAAAUCAUUCUCUUUGUACUAUAUCUCGAUUUCCGAUUUAUGACGACUGACUAAUUGAACAAAUCAAAUUAGCCCUAGCCCGGCCGAGCAUUUACGUUUGUCAUCACUAAAUCAUCGAGGGGCCCAAAGAUAUCGCUUUUAUCCUACUUUGGAUAAAAGGAACGGAUAAACUUUGAUACAAUGCUUGCUUGCACUCACUCACCGAAUCACACACAACAAUAUGUUUUAUAACACCAAGUUACUAGUGCGUUUACAUAUUAUCAAUGUGCAACCGAUUUGCAAGAUACAACUCACACAUCUCGGUUUCAAGAAUAUAAGAUGUUAUCGUCUCACCAAUCACUCGUGAUACAAUUCAUGGAGUGAUCCAAGUGAGCGUGGGUUUAAUCCAAUGCUCAAAUCAUAUUCAUAAGCACUCAUGAACGUUGCAGCAAACAUUUGCUUAUGUCUAAUACUCUUUUAGACAAUCCACACACCAAUUCACGACAGUCUUCAUUCAUAUCUACUUCCAACAUAUGAACGACUGUGGCCCGUUCGAAUAAUUCGAUUAUUCUUAAUAAACUCAAUUAUUCUGGAAGUCAAAACAUGCAAAUGUGAAACACAAGAAUAAUACUAAUCCCAUAUGGCCUCAAACCUUUGAGUAUAAAUAAAACUCCUUUUAUUUAUCACCAUAUCGAUUACUCAUUAUUUGUCGUUUCGGGUAAUCAACUUCUUACUUGAAUUAUUACACUUGUCCCAUGCUCUUAGCAUGCACACAAUGUUUACCUAUGGUUCUUACUUUUGUGAAAUAGAUCAAAUUGAACACAUUUCCAAUCAUUCUCAUUUCACAACUCCAAAUCCUUUUUCAUAAGUGUGAGAAUAUCAAAUUCUUGUUACUUAUAAAAUAUGCUAGAUUCUAACAUUCUAUGCAAUGAUCCUUUCGUAAUGUCACUGCACCAAAGUCACAAAGACUAUUGCCAAUGAUAUUACAAAGUCCUCUAUCGGAGAUUGUUACAAGACAAUUCCUUAGAUAUGAUGUCUCUCACUCAAAGUACAUUCCUUUGAACAUCCUUUUGCAUAAAAGUUUCUAAUCUAGACAUAGAUUUUCAAUAUUCAAUUCCCAAUAUGGACACGUUUCCAUAUUUUCCAUAUGACAACUCAUUCUUAAUAGAAUCUUAUCUAUUCGUAAUGAUGUCGAUAUGGUCCAUCCAAUAUGGAAACAUUUCCAUAAUUUCCAUAUGACAACUCAUUCUUAAUAGAAUCUUUUCUAUUCAUAAUAAUGUCGAUAUGGUCCAUCCAAUACCAUGCUUCCAACUACUCACAAGCGACCAAUCCUCGUCGAACUUUGGAUUGUCCUUUGAUAGUUGUUUAAUUAUUUUAGUCAAAACCAAUUCUAGUCCCUUUUCCCUCUAAAUGCGCUCGACAUUUGGAAAAUUUUAGAAUGGUCAAACAUUAAAGCAUUUGCAAUCGAUCCUAUACCCGAAGCGUAUGGGACACGACGCAUAAUGUUUUAUUUGCUAUGUUCUCAAAAUUCGAAUUGUGAAGAGGAAUGCCGUAAUCAUAAUCGAAAUUUUAAGAACACACUAUGUACCCUUGACUAAAUUUAUUAACAUUUCUCAACCUAAUCCUUUAGAUUUGAAAUGAAGCAUAAUAUUCUCUCCCUUAAUUAUAGCAAAACAACUUUACAACCCUUACGACUUUGCAAGGUAUAACUCUUGUUUUCUAUAAUUAAUAUUGCCAACUUGCAAUACGUGCCUUAAUAAUCAUACAAUCAUAACAUUUAUGCUCCCACUAUCAUGAUGAUUAUUAUAAAACAUAACACUUAUGCUCCCACUAGCUUCGACAUGUAUUCAUAAACAUCUUAACUUUCAGAAAAACAAUACUUAUUGAAUUUCUUAAGUUCAUGUUUCUAAUACUUAGUGCUUUGAUAAUCUUUUAUCAAGGCUUCUUGAACUUAUACACCUUUGCCUUCGAUAGUUCAUAUGUGUGUCUAAACAAUUAAGACUAAUUGCCAAACCUCACAAUUCAAAUUAUGGAAAGGGAUACCGUAACCAUAAUCGAAUUCGAGAAUGCAAUUUUACAAUCACUAUCUUCUUAAAAUCUUUCUUAGUGAAAGCAUUUCCUCACAAUCAUUUUCAUGAAGGAGGAAAUCUUAUGACACUUAGAUUUAAACGGUGUAUGUGUUCCUAUCCAUGUGAAUUUGUUAAAACCAAAGUUUACGACAAAUUCAAACUCAUAUGGACCGAACUUUCUUAAUCUUGAUUUCUUGCCUUAUGGUAGCACAGCUGCCCACCAUGUCUUCCAAGUAGUUAAGCAGCUCACCCUUUCCUAUCAAUGUACCUUUCAUUGAUUAAGGUGCUUUGCCUUUUAUGCGUUCAAAAUGAGAACUCAUAGAACUCACAUGCAUAAUUAACUCGAUUGGAUUGGCACAGAAACAAAAUAAUGUCAACACGAUAGGUUGUAAACCUCAACUCGUGUGCUAGUGAUGAUCGAUAAGGUUUAUUUGAUUUGUUCUUGAAACCUUUCAAGACCAUUAAGACUCCCACUGACUCCUUGACAUAUAAGAUUCUCUUGUCAAUAAACAUUUCUUGACAAACAAAUAUUCAAGAGUUAGUGUAGCUUUUAUCAAAACACUUCAUAAAUUGGUCCUAGUUGGUCUUUGUCUUAUCCAAGACAUCACAACUUUCCACAUUUGAUGAAUGUUAUAAACCUUCUUAAUACUUAUCACUCAAUGUCACAAUCUUAACUCUAAGACUUGUUUUGGAACGAAGUAUGAUUGACUUCUUGAUUUAACCAUUUCUUCAAUUCUUGAUUCCUCUUCUUAGACAUACAAUUGUACUAAGACUCACUUAGAGGAUCAAUUGAGAUAUGGUUCUUAAUCAUUAAGACCUAUCAUAAAGCAUAAAAGGUACUCUCCCUUCUUCUUAGAAUGGAGAAACUUUUAUCUUUCUGCCUACUUGAUUCUUCUUAUUCGUUCUGCUAUUGAUUUAAACUUUUUCAAUCAAUUCAGAAUUACACUUAAUCUUAUAAGUAUAAUCAUAUUUACUAAACCUUUAGUAAAUCAUGACGAAUAUCUUUGUUACUCUUAUGGUGGACUUGAUCAACACGCAACUUUGUGUACUCGAUCUCCUAGUCCUUCACUUGACACUUUGUCAAUGAAUUAGUCUAAUUUCCAAAUAUGAAAUUUCUCAUUCAUCGUGCAACCAAGUUGCAUGAUUCCAAGUUUCUGUCCAAUUGAAACUUGGGCGAUGAGAAACUCUCCCUAUUUGGUAAAUUCUCGACUUUCCAUAAAUAACAUAAUAAGAACCAAAUCCAUUAUUGCUAAUAAUAGAAACAUUCAAACAUCAAUUUUUCAUAUACGCCAUUGCAAGGAUAAAUAAAUAAUAUAAAAUCAAAAUUUAUUUUAUUGCGGAAAAAAUUUGUCCUUACAAUGCAAUUCAUUGAAAAACUAUGCUAAUACAUCUUUCUUAGCAAUCUAAUUCUAACUCUAAGUAGUAGCUCAAGAAUCUAAUCUUCGAGAAAUGCGAUCGAAAUCCAUUCCUUCACGGUUAGAUUCUGCUCACUUCUUCCCUUAAGCUUCCUUUCUUUUCUUCGAUCCUACAAAACAUCAAUUGUAAUCUUAUCACAUUAUGUAUUAAGAAUCUAGAAUAGAAGCUUAAAAGAGUUAGUUAAUGGAUUUUACCUAUAUUAGAGCCAUACGUUUCGACUCUCCCAUCUCUUAGAUCUCUUAGGUAAAUGGGGCAGCUUCGUCUCCAAUGCCCUUUCUCUUGGCAAUAAAAGCAAAUUGACUCUUUUGGAACAUGACAUGGAACUACUUCAGACAUUGCCUUUCUCUUAUGAUCAAACUUUUCGAUCAUAGCAUGUCUUUCGUUGCCAUUGUCUAUAUCCAUAGAGGUCUUGAAGGCAGAUUCACCAAUCAACUUUGCUUUUCUAUUGCGCCAAACCAUUGCUGAUUCAGCAGCAAUAAGCAUAUAGGUGAGAUCUAUAAGGGUCACGUCGCGGUUCAUCAUAUAGUACUCUCUUACGAACUCACUAUAUGAGUUAGGAAGUGACUGAAGAACCCAAUCAACAGCCAUUUCCUCACAGACAACGGAUCCCAACAUUCUUAACCUAUCAAUGUGUGACUUCAUCCCUAGGACGUGUGCACACACCGACUUUCCUUCUUUAUGUUUACUUGCCAAAAGGGCUUGAGUGAUCUUGAACUUUUCAAGCCUUUGAACUUGUGGGUUAGGGAGAAUAAUUGGAGGAGGAGGAGGAAGUGAAGCAUGAUUUCUUGUUCCUCGAUCGAAUCGUGGAAUAUCAUCUUCAUGUGGAAUGCUUGUUCCACGGGAUUUGGGAAGACCAUAGUUGUCGAACUUUGACAUCUACAAAACGGGAGAAAACGAAUUCAAGUUAGUUGAUUGAUUGAGUCCUUAGUAAAUCACCCAAAUGAGAUACUAAGGCUAGGACCCAACACAAUAUUCUACAACUCGGGAGAGGGAUGCCGUAACCCUAAUUGCAGAAUAUUUGAAGGUAAGUGAAUGACGAUUCACUAAUUUCCACCACGAAAAACGAAAAAGAAUUUAAGUUUUAAAUCUAUGAAAACUCCUAGAUCCUUUGAGAUUCAUUGAACUUUCAAUGGCAUGUUUAAAUCUCGAUAUGCCCCUCUUGUUUGUGACUGGGAUGCCGAGGAUCACAAAGCGGGUGUGAAUAACCAUGCAAACUUACAUGGUGCCCUCACAUGUUACAGUCAUCUAUUCGAUGUGCCGGUAAACCACACACGCUCCACCGAACUAUGACAAACAUUGAGUCACCCUUUGCUACCUUCACUUAGAACCAUUUAGUGUGCCGGUAAACCACACACGCUCCACUAACGUCUUCGCAAGGGUACAAAGUGUAAUUUCAUGGAAUUGCAUCAAUUCACUUUUGCCUAAGUAACUAAGAUUGGGAAUUUUAUGAAAACAUUUAGUUACUUUAAUAAUUCAUUAUACUUAUAAUGGAAGGUUUCGUCCUAUCCUACCCGUUCGGCUAACGACCCUCCACUAGUCAAGAGUGCGGUGGGUAAGAGUGGAUACCCAUUCAAUCGCCAUUUUAUAGGCAAUUUCCUUAAACACCCCUUAUAGACCAGCUUCGUGAAUGAGGCCUACUAACGGUAAGACUGACUUUUACUCAUUCAUAUAUAUAAUGUUAGACUUUUAAUGUUAUAUAUAGUAUAGGGUGUGUUUUACACUUUAAAAUACUAGGUGGUCAAAUAUAACAAUUAUAUUUUUAAUUGUAAACCAAAACUUUUAUGGAUUUAUUAAACUUCUUUUAAUUAUACACCUUAAUUAAUUAAUAAAACCAUAAGGGUGUAAUUUGAACCUUUUCAAAACAAUACUAGGGUUUUAGAAUUUAACAUCCUAAUUAAACUUUUAAUCAACUUUUAAAUUCCAAAACUUGAGGGCAAGUUUUGAAACUUUUCAAAACAAUUUAGUUUUAAUCUCUCUUAAAAUUUUCGAAUUUAUGCCAUAUAAAUUAAUAUUUUAAAUAUUAAAACUCUUGAUUUAAUAAUUAUCUUGAAUUAGACUAUUAAUUUAAUUAUUAAAUCAUAAGGGAUUAUCUAAAUCAUGAGGAUAAUUACCAUUUAUACAUUUAAGAUAUCCUAAUCCCUUAAUUAUCUCUCUAGAUUUCGAAAUUAUGGUUAGGAUAAUGCAAAAUCUAUAAUUACCAUAUAUAACAACUAGAGGAUAAUUACAAGAUAUGGGAUAAUCCAAAUCCCUAAAAUUUAGGAUCUUAUCUUGGGGAGGAGGCUAAUUUCGAAAAUCAUGGGGUUUUUCAAACCCUAGAUUUCGAAAUCUUGAGGCUUAAGUAAAGGAUUUGAAACCCUUUCAAAUUUUCGCAAAUUAGGGUAUAGAAACCCUAAUCUCGAAAUUUCUAGCCUCCUAGGGUUUAUUGGCUAUAAACCCUAAUAUGUCAAGUUCAUACAAUUGUAUAAUACUAAUUGAAAACAAGUUAACCAAAGGCUCUGAUACCACUGAUGGGAUUUGUACAAACAAUCCUAUGUGUGCAUGCAACCCUAGAAUUGGAUCUAUGUUUUCACUAUUAGAUACACAACAUUAUGAACACAUAAAGAAACCCUAAUUCUAGCAUAUAAGUAAUCAUAUUAACAUAAGAAUAGGUUUAUAAUAUUACCUUGAUUGUUAUGUAGCAAUAACAAUCCCAAAUCUCCUUGUAUUGACUUUGGAAGGCUUAGAGUCACAAGUGUCACUCCUCUAAUGGUUCACAAACACCAAGAGCAAAUGGAGAAGCAAGAGAGAGAGGGAAGAGGUAUAAAAUUCGUUUCUAGGAACCCUAGACAAGGCAUGGACGAAGUCUUAUGGCCUUAGGGUUAUUUAUAUAGGUGUAGAGAUUAGGUUUCAGUCCUUAUCCUUAUCUAGUUGCUUGCCCACCAAGCAACCAUAAGAUAAGCCUUGAAAACCCUUAUCUUUUAUCCUUUGGACGAUUUCAAGGAUCCUUAUCUCCUUGAAUUCGUUCAACCCAUAUUUAUUAUAACCAUUACGAUAUUUUGUAACUAUCACAUAAUUACAAUUCAGCCCCUCUAGUUUAAUUAAUUACAUUUGAUCACAAAAUUAAUUCUUAAUUAAUUAUUGACCAAUAUAAAUAAAACAAAUAUGAUUUCUCCUUUAAUAUAUUAUUCUUAUAACAUAUUAAUAAAUCAUAAUAACCUCUCUCUUUAUUUAUUUCUCCAAUCAAGUUGCUUUGGUGAAGGCAACCCAAAAGGACCAUGCACCAUCGGGUCAAGUACAUACCAAAAUAGUUAUGGACUUAGACACUAAUCCAACAGAUAUCACAAAAAAUCACAAAAAAAAAAUCCAACAUUCCUGAAAGACUCACAGCACAUCGAUCAUAAAACCUCAAAACAAAAUAGCGUGUAACAAAUGCCACCACCAUAUCCCUCAAUCGGAAACAUAAAAUAAAAUUAAAGAAAAACCUACUCCUUUCAUAAUUGAUUGCAUAUUUCUAUGUGUUUUUGAUUGUGUGUUCAUAUGUGCUUGUGUAAGUGUGUGAUUGUGAACAUGAAUCAGAAUGGAAUCGAGAACCAAAAAAGUAGGUAGAGGAGGAUAUCGUUCCUGACCAAUUAAUGAGGAAGAAGAGAAGAGAGAUUGAAGAAAGAAUAAAAUUACCUUCGACGUUUGGUAAUGAUGAACACAUCAUCAAAUGCGGGUAAUUAAGCUCGAAUUGAAGUUUUUCGAGCCCUAAUCACACCUUAAUCAAAUUUUGGGGAAGUGAUUACCUAAUCAAAGCUUCAAUUGGUAAAACUAGGGCUUCAAAAUUGGAGCACAGUACAGAAAUGAACGAAGGAGAAAUUGGUGAUCUUCAAUGCAGUACCAGCGCCGACGGAAGGCGGAAGUCGAGGUAACGAUUGUGGUAGUGAUCCAUGUAGAUUUUAAACAGAGGAAAGCGAGUGCGAGCUCUAUGUAGCAUAAAUACGUAAUGGAGAUGAUAACUAUAUU
rnacentral:lncRNA from 1 species